ACACCGCCCGUCGCUACUACCGAUUGAAUGGCUCAGUGAGGCGUUCGGACUGGCUCGGGGAGGUUGGCAACGACCACCCCAAGCCGGAAAGUUCGUCAAACUCGGUCAUUUAGAGGAAGUAAAAGUCGUAACAAGGUCUCCGUAGGUGAACCUGCGGAGGGAUCAUUA
rnacentral:rRNA from 2 species